rnacentral:rRNA from 1 species
UACGAAGGGGGCUAGCGUUGUUCGGAAUUACUGGGCGUAAAGGGCGCGUAGGCGGCGCUUCAAGUCAGGCGUGAAAGCCCCGGGCUUAACCUGGGAACUGCGCUUGAGACUGGAGUGCUCGAGUUCGGGAGAGGUGAGUGGAAUUCCCAGUGUAGAGGUGAAAUUCGUAGAUAUUGGGAAGAACACCGGUGGCGAAGGCGGCUCACUGGACCGACACUGACGCUGAGGCGCGAAAGCGUGGGGAGCAAACAGGAUUAGAUACCCUGGUAGUCCACGCUGUAAACGAUGUGUGCUAGACGCUGGGAAGCCUAGCUUUUCGGUGUCGCAGCUAACGCGUUAAGCACACCGCCUGGGGAGUACGGCCGCAAGGUUA